GACGUAGGGCGCGAGCGUUGUCCGGAUUUAUUGGGCGUAAAGAGCUCGUAGGCGGCUUGUCGCGUCGACUGUGAAAACCCGCGGCUCAACUGCGGGCCUGCAGCCGAUACGGGCAGGCUAGAGUUCGGUAGGGGAGACUGGAAUUCCUGGUGUAGCGGUGAAAUGCGCAGAUAUCAGGAAGAACACCGGUGGCGAAGGCGGCUCGCUGGGCCAGAUCCGACACUCAUCCGCGAAAAGCGUGGGGAGCAAACGG
rnacentral:rRNA from 1 species